AUCCCAUGUUGAGGAUACUUCCUCAAGAAUUCCAUGUACCUUUCCCAUGCCUCGUAUAAAGUUUCAGACUCCAUUUGUCAAAAAGAAGAUAUAUCAUUUUUUAGUAU